UACAGAGGGGGCAAGCGUUGUUCGGAAUUACUGGGCGUAAAGGGCAUGCAGGCGGUCGGACGCGUUUCGGGUGACAGCGGGUGGCUUAACUACCCGAGUGGUCGAAAGACGGUUUGACUUGAGGACGCGAGAGGGACACGGAAUUCCGGGUGGAGUGGUGAAAUGCGUAGAGAUCCGGAGGAACACCGAAGGCGAAGGCAGUGUCCUGGCGCGUAACUGACGCUGAGGUGCGAAAGCCAGGGGAGCGAACGGG
rnacentral:rRNA from 1 species